GGGCGUGUAGUUAAGUGGUAUAACGUCCGACUUGCACUCGGAAGGCCGGGGGUUCAAUUCCCCCCACGUCCACCA
rnacentral:tRNA from 1 species